rnacentral:tRNA from 1 species
GGGCUUAUGGUGUAGUUGGUUAUCACGUUCGCUUUGCAUUUAUGGAUUGCGAAAGGUGUCGGGUUCAAUUCCCGAUGAGUCCA